ensembl:lncRNA
UGUGAGUGUAUACACUUGAAAAUUGCAGUGUUGUGCUGUGUUGUGUCGUCAACAACCACCUUUCAGGCCCGACGAAAUCCUGUGAAGGAAGUGAAUACCGAGGCGGGCGAAGAAAACAUCUCCAAUUAUAUGCCGUCGAUGACAUCCUGACCCUUCUUCCCCACGUGACGGUGGUGGGAAACAAUUUCAAAAAGAAGAGGGAAGCGUUCGACCCAUCCAGUGUAGUACACCCCGGGUGAGACAACUUACCUGUGUGUGACGCCAGCGGAGGCCGUGUUCGGCCCAACGCAACAGUUUUCGAUCCGCCUCUCUAUCAGCAGUUGGUAGAAGCCUCAGAAAAGGAACGUCUGACGUCUAUUCCCUCGAAGGUCUGUGAGUUACAUCACUUCCUGUUUCCCUGUAUAUUCACCGUAAGCGUAUGCCCAAAGCUAAAGUCAGCAUAUUGUGUUGUACACCCACCUGUCUGCCCAGAUGAAGUCCCAGUUACAUUUGAUGUACUUACCUUAUGCCCAAAGCUAAAGCCAGCAUAUUGUGUUGUACACUCGCCUGUAUGCCCAGAGUGAAGUCCCAGUUAUAUUGGAUGUACUUACCUUAUGCCCAAAGCUAAAGCCAGCAUAUUGUGUUGUACACUCGCCUGUCUGCCCAAGUGAAACCCCAGUUGUCUUUCCUACGGACUUACUUGUGCCCCCGAGUGAAGAGCCAGCGGCCCCUCUGUCCACUAUCCGUGUC